rnacentral:rRNA from 1 species
UAUCUUAGUGGCGGACGGGUGAGUAACACGUAUGCAACCUGCCCUCCGCAGGGGGAUAACCCGGAGAAAUCCGGACUAAUACCGCGUGGUACAUCUGUGGGGCAUCCCACGGGUGUUAAAAGGAAGCGAUUCCGGCGGAGGAUGGGCAUGCGGCGCAUUAGCUAGUUGGCGGGGUAACGGCCCACCAAGGCGACGAUGCGUAGGGGUUCUGAGAGGAAGGUCCCCCACACUGGUACUGAGACACGGACCAGACUCCUACGGAAGGCAGCAG